rnacentral:misc_RNA from 1 species
GUAGGGGGCUAUGCCCCCGAAAGGAUGUAGGCCAGCCAGAAUUGUAGCCCUACGUGGCUACUUGGAUGGCUGGCUAUUCACCUAGCUAUAACCCUUGUCUAUAAGUACUAUUGUUUCCUCGGCAGGCUUGCCUGCCAAUGAGGACCCCAUCAACCCUUUUUAUGUUAUUGUAACCGUACCAAACAAAUAAUCAAAACUUUCAACAACGGAUCUCUUGGUUCU